CAGUAGCCACGGGAAUACGUAGGUGGCAAGCGUUGUCCGGAAUUAUUGGGCGUAAAGGGAGCGCAGGCGGUUUAGUAAGUCUGAAGUUAAAGGCAUUGGCUCAACCAAUGUAUGCUUUGGAAACUGUUAGACUUGAGUGCAGAAGGGGAGAGUGGAAUUCCAUGUGUAGCGGUGAAAUGCGUAGAUAUAUGGAGGAACACCGGUGGCGAAAGCGGCUCUCUGGUCUGACACUGACGCUGAGGCUCGAAAGCGUGGGUAGCGAACAGGAUUAGAUACCCGCGUAGUCCCUGUCUCUUAUACA
rnacentral:rRNA from 1 species